AUGGAAGUGAUGAGUAUUUCCCCAGAUGAUUCGACGCUGAAAUUACUGAGCGCUCUUUAUGUGUUUUUCUCUCUUGUGGAGAAAAUCCAAGCCAGAUUUUCUGAUCCAU